AUUUCCUUCAAGCUCAACAAUUUCUGUCCUCUGAAUAGGGCAAAUGUGUCUGAGCACAUUCAAAAUGUCCCUUUGCCUUAAAAUGUGAGAAAAUCACAUUGUAAUAGCAGAGAGAGGAAUCUGGAGCAUAUUCACACAUGGAAUAAUAUCAUUUGCUGACGUCAAGGUCGUGUCUAAGAGCCUACUACUUAGAAUACUUGGAAGAGAACAAGUAGAAAG
rnacentral:lncRNA from 1 species